rnacentral:rRNA from 1 species
UACGUAGGUGGCAAGCGUUGUCCGGAUUUACUGGGCGUAAAGAGCGCGCAGGCGGUCGUUCAAGUCGAGUGUGAAAGCCCCCGGCUCAACUGGGGAGGGUCAUUCGAUACUGAUCGACUUGAAGGCAGGAGAGGGAAGCGGAAUUCCCGGUGUAGUGGUGAAAUGCGUAGAUAUCGGGAGGAACACCAGUGGCGAAGGCGGCUUCCUGGCCUGUUCUUGACGCUGAUGCGCGACAGCGUGGGGAGCAAACAGG